AAGCCUUGCAGCAUCCACUGCCACGGAAGGCUCUCCUGAGAAGGCCAUUGUGUAAGGAAACCCAAGCUAGUGGACAAAAAGUGUGACAGCAGCUAGACCCCAGGUGUUCUAGCCAUCCCAGCCAGGUGCUACACAUCAUGGGGACUCCUCCAGGGCUCAGCACAGUGUCUGGUGCUAAGAUAUCAGUAUGUAUCUGAUGAACAAAUGAAUGGAAGAAAGAAAAGCCGCAUGCCACUGGCCUCUGUGAGGAUGCUCCAAGAGCCCUACAACCAGCCGUGUCUUCGGGGGCUCUGUGCAAGGAAAGCAGCACUAACCUGCAAAGAAAACUGGACCAAGUCAAACCGAAACAAAUUAUGAAAGCGAAAGGAGACCAAGCACAUCCAAACCAUAUGGCAGUUCCCUCACCUGGGAGUCAGCAGAGGGAUAAGACUGCAUGAAGAUGGUGGGUGGACAGAGCUGUCCCCUCCCCCAGGG